GACGAACGCUGGCGGCGCGCUUAACACAUGCAAGUCGAACGGAAAGGCCUGCUUUCCCUUGUGGAUUGCGGGUACUCGAGUGGCGAACGGGUGAGUAACACGUGAGUGAUCUGCCCCCAACUUGGGUAUAAGCCUGGGAAACUGGGUCUAAUUCCCGAUAGGACUGCAGGGUGGUGCCUGUGGUGGAAAACGAUUUUCUAGUGGUUGGGGAUGAGCUCGCGGCCUAUCAGCUUGUUGGUGGGGUAAUGGCCUACCAAGGCGGCGACGGGUAGCCGGCCUGAGAGGGUGGACGGCCACAUUGGGACUGGGAUACGGCCCAGACUGCUACGGGAGGCAGCAGUGGGGAAUAUUGCACAAUGGGCGGAAGCCUGAUGCAGCGACGCCGCGUGGGGGAUGACGGCCUUCGGGUUGUAAACUCCUUUCGACCGCGAGGAAGCCACCUGGUUGGAAGGGUGGUGACGGUAGCGGUAGAAGAAGCACCGGCUAACUACGUG
rnacentral:rRNA from 1 species